GCUACGAGUGGCUGCAGUGAGGAAUAUUGGUCAAUGGCCGUAAGGCUGAACCAGCCAAGUAGCGUGAGGGAAGACUGCCCUAUGGGUUGUAAACCUCUUUUAUGCGGGGAUAAAGGUGUCCACGUGUGGCUGUUUGCAGGUACCGCAUGAAUAAGGACCGGCUAAUUCCGGGCCAGCAGCCGCGGUAAUACGGAAGGUCCGGGCGUUAUCCGGAUUUAUUGGGUUUAAAGGGGGCGUAGGCCGGUCUUUAAGCGUGCCGUGAAAUUUAGUGGCACAAACAUGGGAGUGCGGCGUGAACUGGAGGCCUUGAGUUCGCGGAAGGCAGGCGGAAUUCGUGGUGUAGCGGUGAAAUGCUUAGAUAUCGCGUAGAACCCCGAUUGCGAAGGCAGCCUGCCGCAGCGUUACUGACGCUGAAGCUCGAAAGCGCGGGUAUCGAACAGGAUUAGAUACCCGUGUAGUC
rnacentral:rRNA from 1 species